UGGGGAAUAUUGCACAAUGGGCGCAAGCCUGAUGCAGCCAUGCCGCGUGUAUGAAGAAGGCCUUCGGGUUGUAAAGUACUUUCAGUCGGGAGGAAGGUGUCAAGGUUAAUAACCUUGGCAAUUGACGUUACCCGCAGAAGAAGCACCGGCUAACUCCGUGCCAGCAGCCGCGGUAAUACGGAGGGUGCAAGCGUUAAUCGGAAUUACUGGGCGUAAAGCGCACGCAGGCGGUUUGUUAAGUCAGAUGUGAAAUCCUCGGGCUCAACCUGGGAACUGCAUCUGAUACUGGCAAGCUUGAGUCUCGUAGAGGGGGGUAGAAUUCCAGGUGUAGCGGUGAAAUGCGUAGAGAUCUGGAGGAAUACCGGUGGCGAAGGCGGCCCCCUGGACGAAGACUGACGCUCAGGUGCGAAAGCGUGGGGAGCAAACAGG
rnacentral:rRNA from 1 species